rnacentral:rRNA from 1 species
AUUGAACGCUGGCGGGAUGCUUUACACAUGCAAGUCGAACGAGUGGCGGACGGGUGAGUAAUAUAUCGGAACGUGCCCAGUAGCGGGGGAUAACUACUCGAAAGAGGGCUAAUACCGCAUACUAUUGGAGCGGCCGAUAGCGGAUGAGAUAGUUGGUGGGGGAAAGGCUCACCAAGGCAACGUUCCGUAGCUGGUUUGAGAGGACGACCAGCCACACUGGGACGGAGACACGGCCCAGAAUCCUACGGGAGGCAGCAGUGGGGAAUAUUGCAAAAUGGGCGCAAGCCUGCUGCAGCCAUGCCGCGUGUAUGAAGAAGGCUCUAGGGUUGUAAAGUACUUUCAGUCGGGAGGCGUUACCGAAAGAAGAAGCGCCGGCUAACUACGUGCCAGCAGCCGCGGUAAUAC